rnacentral:rRNA from 1 species
AGUGGCGGACGGGUGAGUAAUGCAUAGGAAUUUGCCUCGAAGUGGGGGAUAGCCCGGAGAAAUCCGGAUUAAUACCGCAUGUGCUCUACGGAGCAAAGUGGACCUCUGAUUUAAGUUCACGCUUUGAGAUAAGCCUAUGUCGGAUUAGCUUGUUGGUAGGGUAAAAGCCUACCAAGGCGACGAUCCGUAGCUGGUUUGAGAGGAUGAUCAGCCACACUGGGACUGAGACACGGCCCAGACUCCUACGGGAGGCAGCAGUGGGGAAUAUUGGACAAUGGGCGCAAGCCUGAUCCAGCAAUGCCGCGUGUGUGAAGAAGGCCUGCGGGUUGUAAAGCACUUUUAUCGGGAAAGAAAAACACAGGGUUAAUACCCCUGUGCCUUGACGGUACCCGAAGAAUAAGCANCGGCUAACUCAGUGCCAGCAGCCGCGGUAAUACUUGAGGGUUGCAAGCGUUAAUCCGGAAUUACUGGGCGUUAAAGCG